AUUAAAUACGGGAAUGAGUGUCUCCCUAAGAUUUUUUCUUAAACCGCUAAUCAAGCUGAUGACUUCUACAAAUUU
rnacentral:ncRNA from 1 species